UACGUAGGGUGCAAGCGUUGUCCGGAAUUACUGGGCGUAAAGAGCUCGUAGGCGGUUUGUCACGUCGUCUGUGAAAUCCUCCAGCUCAACUGGGGGCGUGCAGGCGAUACGGGCAGACUUGAGUACUACAGGGGAGACUGGAAUUCCUGGUGUAGCGGUGAAAUGCGCAGAUAUCAGGAGGAACACCGGUGGCGAAGGCGGGUCUCUGGGUAGUAACUGACGCUGAGGAG
rnacentral:rRNA from 1 species